GAUGAACGCUGGCGGCGUGCCUAAUACAUGCAAGUCGAGCGAACAGACGAGGAGCUUGCUCCUCUGACGUUAGCGGCGGACGGGUGAGUAACACGUGGAUAACCUACCUAUAAGACUGGGAUAACUUCGGGAAACCGGAGCUAAUACCGGAUAAUAUAUUGAACCGCAUGGUUCAAUAGUGAAAGACGGUUUUGCUGUCACUUAUAGAUGGAUCCGCGCCGCAUUAGCUAGUUGGUAAGGUAACGGCUUACCAAGGCAACGAUGCGUAGCCGACCUGAGAGGGUGAUCGGCCACACUGGAACUGGGACACGGUCCAGACUCCUACGGGGGGCAGCAGUAGGGAAUCUUCCGCAAUGGGCGAAAGCCUGACGGAGCAACGCCGCGGGAGUGAUGAAGGUCUUCGGAUCGUAAAACUCUGUUAUUAGGGAAGAACAAAUGUGUAAGUAACUAUGCACGUCUUGACGGUACCUAAUCAGAAAGCCACGGCUAACUACGUG
rnacentral:rRNA from 1 species